rnacentral:rRNA from 1 species
GAUGAACGCUGGCGGCAUGCUUUACACAUGCAAGUCGAACGGUAACAGGCCGCAAGGUGCUGACGAGUGGCGAACGGGUGAGUAAUGCAUCGGAACGUGCCCAGUCGUGGGGGAUAACGCAGCGAAAGCUGUGCUAAUACCGCAUACGAUCUAUGGAUGAAAGCGGGGGACCGUAAGGCCUCGCGCGAUUGGAGCGACCGAUGUCAGAUUAGGUAGUUGGUGGGGUAAAGGCUCACCAAGCCAACGAUCUGUAGCUGGUCUGAGAGGACGACCAGCCACACGGGGACUGAGACACGGCUCAGACUCCGACGGGAGGCAGCAGUGGGGAAUUUUGGACAAUGGGCGAAAGCCUGAUCCAGCAAUGCCGCGUGCAGGAAGAAGGCCUUCGAGUUGUAAACUGCUUUUGUACGGAACGAAAAGGUUUGGGUUAAUACCCUGGGCCGAUGACGGUACCGUAAGAAUAAGCACCGGCUAACUACGUGCCAGCCGCCGCCGUAA